AGAAACAACCAAUAUUUAAAAACCAAAGAAAAGAAUUCUUCUUAACUAGCUGGACAAUUAUACAAACAAGUGUGUAAUACAUAGUUGUACAGUCACUAUUGUGUGUUGUGUUUGUUCUUAACCAAUUUCAUUUUUCUGCAUUUAGUAAGGUAGACCAUAUAACUUUGUAAGCAGUUAGUUGUUAUUUCAGUCAGAUAUAACUAUGUUCUAUUAUUAUUAUUAUUAUUAUUAUUUAUUAUUAUUAUUAUUAUUAUUAUUAUUAUUAUUAUUAUUCGACAGGUCAUGUUUGAUUUUGUUGUCUGAAAAUUCAAUUCUUAAUGUCAUUAUAUUUGAAACUGUAGAUUUUAAAUUGACCAACGAACUACGAUUGGUUUUACCAUCUGAUCGUUUUUUAUUAUAAAAGUUCAUAAUUGAUCUAAAUUUUAAAAACUAACAAAAAUGAAUUGUUAUUAUUGAAGAUAGUGAUCAUCAUUGGCAAUUUUGCAGAACGAUGCCCUUUAUGAAGAAAAUGCUGCUAUUUCAGAACUGAAAUUGUUUAGAAUAUAUUUUCUAAAAUGGUGAUGCUGGGGAUAUUGCAGAAAUCACAAAACACCAAUUUCAACAAGGAAAACCCACUUUUGUUACGAUUAUAGAUAAAUGUGGGUUAUUUUUGGAAGGUUUUUGUGCAAGUAUGUUUAAAAUUUUGCUCGCGUCUUUGUUUGUACUCAGCGGAAUACCAAUUUUUGGGUCACUAGCGUGAUUUAGAUACCUGGGAAAACAUUACAGCAAACACAUAAUAAGUGUCAAUUAAAAUAACCGUUAAAUUCGAGACUUCACUAAUUUUUAAAACCUGAAAUUGCUGUUAUUUUGGAUAUUUUACAACAUUUUUAUGUUAAAAAUAUUGUAUCUGUACUACCGAUACUGAACAUCGGUGAUUAUUCUGGUCCAUCUAUUCUCGCUCAUUGGCGACUUACAUCACCUUCAUACAUACGUGUGCGUGUCGGCUCUUCCGUUCAAUUCUUGUGUAAGUAUUUUCAAGAAAUAAGAUACAGAUGCACUCUGAAGAUGAUCAUAAAAUAAUAUUCUGCACAGAUAUUACAGGAUCUGUAACUUCUGAUAAAUAGUAACCACCAACAAAUGUAAUAUUAUACAUUUAUA